rnacentral:tRNA from 1 species
GUAGAGCGCUCAGCGGUAGAGCGCUCGCCUAGCACAUGUGAGGCCCUGGGUUCGAUCCCCAGCACCACA